UACACUUCUACAUACAGAGAAUGCCAAAGGUACACUUACUAACAUACAGAGAAUCCCGAAGGUACACUGCUAACAUACAAAGAAUCCUGAAGGUACACAGCUAACAUACAGAGAAUCCUGAAGGUACACCGCUAACAUACAGAGAAUCCCGAAGGUACACUACUAACAUACAGAGAAUCCUGAAGGUACACUGCUAACAUACAGAGAAUCCCUAAGGCACACUGCUACAUACAGAGAAUCCUGAAGAUACACUACUAACAUACAGAAAAUCCUGAAGGUACACUGCUAACAUACAGAGAAUCCUGAAGGUACACUUACUAACAUAUGGAGAAUCCUGAAGGUACACUGCUAACAUACAGAGAAUCCUGAAGGUACACUUACUAACAUAUGGAGAAUCCUGAAGGUACACUGCUAACAUACAGAGAAUCCUGAAGGUACACUUCUACAUACAGAGAAUCCUGAAGGUACACUGCUAACAUACAGAGAAUCCCUAAGGUACACUUCUACAUACAGAGAAUCCUGAAGGUACACUUACUAACAUAUGGAGAAUCCUAAAGGUACACUGCUAACAUACAGAGAAUCCUGAAGGUACACUGCUAACAUACAGAGAAUCCUGAAGGUACACUGCUAACAUACAGAGAAUCCUGAAGGUACACUGCUAACAUACAGAAAAUCCUGAAGGUACACUACUAACAUACAGAGAAUCCUGAAGGUACACUGCUAACAUACAGAGAAUCCUGAAGGUACACUGCUAACAUACAGAGAAUCCUGAAGGUACACUGCUAACAUACAGAGAAUCCUGAAGGUACACUGCUAACAUACAGAGAAUCCUGAAGGUACACUGCUAACAUACAGAGAAUCCUGAAGGUACACUGCUAACAUACAGAGAAUCCUGAAGGUACACUGCUAACAUACAGAGAAUCCCUAAGGUACACUUCUACAUACAGAGAAUCCUGAAGGUACACUGCUAACAUACAGAGAAUCCUGAAGGUACACUGCUAACAUACAGAGAAUCCCUAAGGUACACUUCUACAUACAGAGAAUCCUGAAGGUACACUGCUAACAUACAGAGAAUCCUGAAGGUGCACUGCUAACAUACAGAGAAUCCUGAAGGUACACUGCUAACAUACAGAGAAUCCUGAAGGUGCACUGCUAACAUACAGAGAAUCCUGAAGGUACACUGCUAACAUACAGAGAAUCCCUAAGGUACACCACUAACAUACAGAGAAUCCCUAAGGUACACUACUAACAUACAGAGAAUCCUGAAGGUACACUGCUAUCAUACAGAGAAUCCUGAAGGUACACUGCUAACAUACAGAGAAUCCUGAAGGUACACUGCUAACAUACAGAGAAUCCUGAAGGUACACUACUAACAUACAGAGAAUCCUGAAGGUGCACUGCUAACAUACAGAGAAUCCCUAAGGUACACUACUAACAUACAGAGAAUCCUGAAGGUACACUACUACAUACAGAGAAUUCUGAAGGUACACUGCUAACAUACAGAGAAUCCUGAAGGUACACUGCUAACAUACAGAGAAUCCUGAAGGUACACUACUAACAUACAGAGAAUCCUGAAGGUACACUACUAACAUACAGAGAAUCCUGAAGGUACACUACUAACAUACAGAGAAUCCUGAAGGUACACUGCUAACAUACAGAGAAUCCUGAAGGUACACUACUAACAUACAGAGAAUCUUGAAGGUACACUGCUAACAUACAGAGAAUCUUGAAGGUACACUGCUAACAUACAGAGAAUCCUGAAGGUACACUGCUAACAUACAGAGAAUCCUGAAGGUACACUACUACAUACAGAGAAUCCUGAAGGUACACUACUACAUACAGAAAAUCCUGAAGGUACACUGCUAACAUACAGAGAAACCUGAAGGUACACUGCUAACAUACAGAGAAUCUUGAAGGUACACUGCUAACAUACAGAGAAUCCUGAAGGUACACUGCUAACAUACAGAGAAUCCUGAAGGUACACUGCUAACAUACAGAGAAUCUUGAAGGUACACUGCUAACAUACAGAAAAUCCUGAAGGUACACUACUGACAUACAGAGAAUCCUGAAGGUACACUGCUAACAUACAGAGAAUCCCUAAGGUACACUGCUACAUACAGAGAAUCCUGAAGGUACACUACUACAUACAGAGAAUCCUGAAGGUACACUAGUACAUACAGAGAAUCCUGAAGGUACACUUACUAACAUACAGAAAAUCCUGAAGGUACACCACUAACAUACAGAGAAUCCCUAAGGUACACUACUACAUACAGAGAAUCCUGAAGGUACACUGCUAACAUACAGAGAAUCUUGAAGGUACACUGCUAACAUACAGAGAAUCCUGAAGGUACACUACUAACAUACAGAGAAUCCCUAAGGUACACUGCUAACAUACAGAGAAUCCCUAAGGUACACUACUAA